rnacentral:rRNA from 2 species
UUCAACGGAGAGUUUGAUCCUGGCUCAGGAUGAACGCUGGCGGCGUGCUUAACACAUGCAAGUCGAACGAUGAAGCCCACUUGUGGGUGGAUUAGUGGCGAACGGGUGAGUAACACGUGAGUAACCUGCCCUUGACUCUGGGAUAAGCCUGGGAAACUGGGUCUAAUACCGGAUAUGACCUUCCAUCGCAUGGUGGUUGGUGGAAAGCUUUUGUGGUUUUGGAUGGACUCGCGGCCUAUCAGCUUGUUGGUGGGGUAAUGGCCUACCAAGGCGACGACGGGUAGCCGGCCUGAGAGGGUGACCGGCCACACUGGGACUG